GCACCGUUUUCUUUGUGGAGGUAUAGCGAACGCGCAUUCCUUUCUUUCUUUUUUGGUUCGCGUCGGCCGAGUGGCGAUAUCCUAUUACAUCCGGAACGAGGACCUAUCGCUUUGCGAUCGCAUACAAGAGUGAGCCAUCUUUUGACGAUGGUAGGAUAAUUAUUGACCUGAGGAAUAAUAUGGAUUUAUGUGGUUGUGGUGGACUUUGUGUUUGUGAUUGUGAAAAUGUGAGUGUGUGUCUGUGUAUGUGUGAACCAGGGAUCCCACUUGACAAGUUGACCUUGUCUAGAGGAGCAUUAGUGGAAAAAAACAGGGUAGCCCUGAGACAAUAGGAUGCCGUCACGACCAAUGAGACUGGCCUGCAGGGGGCGCAAGGAUUCACUUCUCUCUUGGACACUGGCGGGUGUAGACACGGUGGAUUUUGUGACGAGCGGAUUUACAAUGAGGGAAUGCUGUGAACGGGAAAAAUGAUGAGCUGUCCUAACUUGCC